rnacentral:sRNA from 1 species
GCCAGGUGUGGUGGCGCAUUCCUGUAAUCCCAGAGGCUCGGGAGGCUGAGACAGGAGGAUUAAGAGUUCAAAGACAGCAUGGCUGAGUCCAUAAGCAACUCAGUGAGAACCUGUCUCUA